rnacentral:tRNA from 1 species
UUGGCCCGUGGUGUAACGGUAGCACAGGAGAUUUUGGUUCUCCUUGUCCUAGUUCGAAUCUAGGCGGGCCAAU